rnacentral:lncRNA from 1 species
AUACAGCAAAAGCAGAGCAGUUUUGUGGCUUGAAGGUUGUACCUAAAUGACUAUAUAUAUAUAUGGCUACACAAGAAUAACAGCAACUGAAAACCACAGUCCACUCAAGGAAAUAUGGUUGGCAAAUCUCCCUUCCCCUAAAUUAGGGGGAACCCAGUGAUGUGUGUGUUCAUGUGCAGUAGGUCACAGGGUUAGAGGUACGAUGGCAGAAACAGUAGGAAGCAAGAAAGACACAAGGAACAAGCCAGUUUUCUCCUUCCACAGGCAUCAGGAGCAACAGGACUUUCUGCAGAUGAUGCUCACCGAAGUCCUGAAGUGCAGCGGGAAAGAGAGAUUUCCUGAAUUGAAUAUUAUGGCUCAGUGGAUAAAGAAUCAGCCUGCAAUGUAGGAGACACAGGAAACGUGCAUUCGAUCCCUAGUUUGGGAAGAUCCCCUUGCAGGAGGAAAUGGCGACCCACUCCAGAAUUCUUGCCUGGAAAAUUCCAUGGACAGAGGAGUCUGGUGGGCUACAGUUUAUGGAGUUGCAAAGAGUUGGACACAACUCAGUGACUAAGAACAAGUAUAAGGCUAGUAAUACUGAUUUCAUAACUUGUCAUAAGAACACUGUAGACUAAUGUCUUCUAUGAAAUGCAGAUGAAAAAUUCUAAUUAAUUUUUAGCAAA